GUCAAGGUUGUAGAGAAACAUCAGGAAUAAUUCUUGGCUUCAAGAAUCUCAGUUUUUAAUUGCAACAAGACUAGUGAGUAAAAUUAAAGUUAAGUGAUCAGUUUGUACAGAAUAUAAAGAACUACCAAAUUUUCUUGGAGAUCAAGGACAGAGAAGUUCAUCUGAUCAGUUUGAGCAAUGUUUACUGUGAGUACAAGAUUGAUGGGGCAUCCCUGAUGGAGUGAAAGAUACCAAACACCAGGCCUGGAUGGCCAGGGAAUAGGCUGCCCACAAGAGGAGGAAGGCACAGGAGGAAGGCCUCUGGUCUGUGUGGGAACAGGAAGAAGAGCAAUCAGGUUGGAAAGGAAGUUUCAGAGAUGAAGAUUUGGAGAGGACCUGGGAGAUCUGGAAUUAAUCUCAGAUCAUCCAUUUGAAAUGCUAUCUGGAGCAAGCUUCUCUUUUGAGGGCUCAGAUUCCUUUGUGAAAAAUGGCACCUGUUACUUAGAGGCUUCUGAUGGAUUGAGCGUCUUAUAGGAGCCGAUUAAGGCAAGUGGUGAAGGACUCAAAGGUAAGAGGGUGAGCUUGGUGGCCUAAUGGGAGUGACCAGAGACCUCUCAUCCUUUUCACCCUGUGAGGAGACAGCAAGAAGGCACUGUCCACAAGCCAGAAGGUUUCUGGUAAAGUGGGAAGAUAUUACACAUUUUUGAAUAAUAAAGCCUACUGAAAGUGAGUCUGAUGCUGAGUCAAGGAAGGGGAGAUUGUGCACCAGAGGCUUAAUUUCUUCUAUUAGCCUGGCUGCUGGCAAUAACUUCCUGAAGGACACCUUCCGGACAAACUUCCUCUAAUGUUUAUGUUGCCUCCACCAGCCAGUCUUCUAAGUAAGCCAGAUUCUCCUCUGUGUUGUGCCUCUGCCAUGCCAUCUUAACUUGGAGCCAGAUGACUAUGGACUGAAACUUCUACAAACUGGUAGAACAUAUGCUUUAAAGUUAACCUGUUUUGAAACAUAAACAGAUUUUUCGCUUCACACAUACUGCAACUGGACAAAAAGGCUAUUUUCGAUCACAAGCUCCUAGGACAGAGAAGCUGAGCCAGUUCCAGCACCCAGAAGGAAGCUCCCCCACUGCCAUACCAAGCUCCUAGGGCAGACAAGGCGAGCUGCGUGGGUAUCAGAAGCACCCCCACACCCCCGUGGAAAUGAGAAGACACAUAAACAAGCCUCAAAAACAGACUUCCAGAUCACCUACAGCAACCCCAAAGGGAAAUGAGAUGGAACACUCUGAUACUCAACCACCUGGACUCUCUGAACUGGCAACAAAAGAGGAUCUGGGAAAAAUGAAAUCAGAAAUAAUUACUCAGGUAACAGCAAAGAUUUUGCUCAUGGUGCAAGGGAUGAUUAAUAAAUCUAGAGAGGACACAGAUAAAAAAAUAGAGGAUCUGAGGAACAUGAUGGAAUCCCAACAUAGGAAACAAAUGGAAUCCAUAAAACAGAUACAAACAGAUUUCCAAGAGAUUGAAAACUCCAUCGAAAGUCUGUGCAGCAGAAUGAACCAAUGUGAGGAUAGAAUUUCACAUAUAGAAGAUAAGAUUGCAAUUAGUUAGGAGGAAAAGAAAAAUUGCUUUAAAAUUAUAAGGGAACAUGAGAAAUCAAUCCAGCAGCUGCUAGACGAUACAAAGAGGAAUAAUAUAAGACUGAUUGGAGUCAAUGAAGAAAGAGGAGAGAGUGCAGAUGACAUAAAAAAAACUGUUCACAGAAGUGAUGGCAGAAAACUUCCCAACCAGGAGAAAAGAACUUGACAUACAGAUAAGUGAGGCAUAUAGGACUCCAAAUAGCCUUGAUCAAAAAAAAAUCUACACAUAGGCAUAUAAUAGUUAGGAUUCCAGAAAUCCAACAGAAGAACAAAAUUCUACAAGCAGUGAGAGAAAAGAAACAAAUCACAUACAAAGGAAAGCCCAUCAGAAUCACAGCAGACUUCUCAAUGCAAACCCUCAAGGCAAGAAGAGCUUGGAGUGAUGUAUUUGAAGCCCUAAAGGAAAACAGCCUCCAACCCAGAUUGAUGUACCCUGCAAAACUAUCUUCCAAAAUUGAUGAAGAAAUAAGAUACUUUCAUGAUAAAGAGCACCUCAGGAACUUCAUGAAUACCAACCUGGCACCCCAAAAAAUUUUAGACAAUACCUUAGGAAAAGACAAUGAGGAUCACAACCCCAGGAAACCCAGCAGAAUGAAUCUAUUGGGC
ensembl:lncRNA